rnacentral:rRNA from 1 species
UACGAAGGGGGCUAGCGUUGUUCGGAAUUACUGGGCGUAAAGGGCGCGUAGGCGGCGUGUCAAGUCAGACGUGAAAUCCCCCGGCUUAACCUGGGAACUGCGUCUGAUACUGGACGGCUUGAGUAUGGGAGAGGGAUGUAGAAUUCCAGGUGUAGCGGUGAAAUGCGUAGAUAUCUGGAGGAAUACCGGUGGCGAAGGCGGCAUCCUGGACCAUUACUGACGCUGAGGCGCGAAAGCUAGGGGAGCAAACGGG